AUGCACCACGCAGGUCAACCUCAGCCGGGGACGCGUGUGGGGCAAAUCAAAUGUUCCACUGCUCUGUGCACGUCCGCCAAUGACUUUGAAAGCGCCGCGAGUAUGGACUUGGGGGUUGCAAAUAAAUUUGAGAGAGUAGGAGACUUUGCAAACAUGGAAUCCAUGAAUCAUGAGGCCCGACUUAUAUUCACGGCUGGUUGUUGGGCAUCAAGACAAUCUGGAAGGAUCCAAGAAACCGGAACUUCUCCCUGGAGAGACACAAAUGGCAGGCAGUUUCCUCACAGAAAUGCCGAGACCGCUGUUCUGGAGUCAGAAGACCAGAGUUCAAAUCCUAAACUCCCAUUGGCAAAUUAGCAGAUUGGUGCUCAGAGGCAGAAGCUGCCAGAAGUGGACACGAUAAGGAAGAGAGAAACACUGUAUGAACCGUCCGCUGGGAAACCUCCGCAGUCUGGGGCCCUCUGGUGCAGGGACUAACAACCGUAUUUACCCCACUACCCACUACAUCCGGGUUCAUUCACCUUCAUCCCUAAUGAAGAUGGGGAGACACCAUGGAAAGCCUCACCUUGCGUUUAAAAAAAUUUUUUUUAAAUGUUUGUUUAUUUUUGAGAGAGAGAGAGAGAGAGACAGAGUAGAGUGUGAGCGGGGCAGGGGCAGAGAGAGAGGGAGACACAGAAUCUGAAGCAGGCUCCAGGCUCUGAGCUGUCAGCACAGAGCCCGACGCGGGGCUUGAAUCCACAAACUAAGCCUCACCUUGCGUUUUAGCACGUCAUGCACUAGGCAGAGAAAUAAACCGGAGAAUGUAAUUGCUCA
rnacentral:lncRNA from 1 species